GACAUCCUUUGACAACUCUAGAGAUAGAGCCUUCCCCUUCGGGGGACAAAGUGACAGGUGGUGCAUGGUUGUCGUCAGCUCGUGUCGUGAGAUGUUGGGUUAAGUCCCGCAACGAGCGCAACCCUUAAGCUUAGUUGCCAUCAUUAAGUUGGGCACUCUAAGUUGACUGCCGGUGACAAACCGGAGGAAGGUGGGGAUGACGUCAAAUCAUCAUGCCCCUUAUGAUUUGGGCUACACACGUGCUACAAUGGACAAUACAAAGGGCAGCGAAACCGCGAGGUCAAGCAAAUCCCAUAAAGUUGUUCUCAGUUCGGAUUGUAGUCUGCAACUCGACUACAUGAAGCUGGAAUCGCUAGUAAUCGUAGAUCAGCAUGCUACGGUGAAUACGUUCCCGGGUCUUGUACACACCGCCCGUCACACCACGAGAGUUUGUAACACCCGAAGCCGGUGGAGUAACCUUUUAGGAGCUAGCCGUCGAAGGUGGGACAAAUGAUUGGGGUGAAGUCGUAACAAGGUAGCCGUAUCGGAAGGUGCGGCUGGAUCACCUCCUUU
rnacentral:rRNA from 1 species